GGGGUGGAACUGGUCUGGUGGCCGGCACGGACUUCAAACCCGCUUGUGAGGCAGUUUACUCUGUUUCUGGUGCGUUCGAUUCGCACACGCCCCGCCA
rnacentral:tRNA from 1 species